rnacentral:rRNA from 1 species
AUUGAACGCUGGCGGCAGGCUUAACACAUGCAAGUCGAGCGGGGGAAGGUAGCUUGCUACUGGACCUAGCGGCGGACGGGUGAGUAAUGCUUAGGAAUCUGCCUAUUAGUGGGGGACAACAUCUCGAAAGGGAUGCUAAUACCGCAUACGUCCUACGGGAGAAAGCAGGGGAUCUUCGGACCUUGCGCUAAUAGAUGAGCCUAAGUCGGAUUAGCUAGUUGGUGGGGUAAAGGCCUACCAAGGCGACGAUCUGUAGCGGGUCUGAGAGGAUGAUCCGCCACACUGGGACUGAGACACGGCCCAGACUCCUACGGGAGGCAGCAGUGGGGAAUAUUGGACAAUGGGGGGAACCCUGAUCCAGCCAUGCCGCGUGUGUGAAGAAGGCCUUAUGGUUGUAAAGCACUUUAAGCGAGGAGGAGGCUACUUUAGUUAAUACCUAGAGAUAGUGGACGUUACUCGCAGAAUAAGCACCGGCUAACUCUGUGCCAGCAGCCGCGGUAAUACAGAGGGUGCGAGCGUUAAUCGGAUUUACUGGGCGUAAAGCGUGCGUAGGCGGCUUAUUAAGUCGGAUGUGAAAUCCCCGAGCUUAACUUGGGAAUUGCAUUCGAUACUGGUGAGCUAGAGUAUGGGAGAGGAUGGUAGAAUUCCAGGUGUAGCGGUGAAAUGCGUAGAGAUCUGGAGGAAUACCGAUGGCGAAGGCAGCCAUCUGGCCAAAUACUGACGCUGAGGUACGAAAGCAUGGGGAGCAAACAGGAUUAGAUACCCU